GUCAGGUAUGGUGGCACACACCUGUAAUCCCAGAUACUUGGGAGGCUGAGGCAGGAGGAUUGCAGGUUCAAAGCCAGCCUCAGCAACUUAUCAAGGUCCUAAGCCACUUAGCAAAACCCUGCCUCAA
rnacentral:sRNA from 1 species